rnacentral:rRNA from 1 species
CAGUAGCCACGGUAAAACGUAGGGUGCAAGCGUUAAUCGGAAUUACUGGGCGUAAAGCGUGCGCAGGCGGUUAUAUAAGUCAGAUGUGAAAUCCCCGGGCUCAACCUGGGAACUGCAUUUGAGACUGUAUGGCUAGAGUGUGUCAGAGGGGGGUAGAACUCCACGUGUAGCAGUGAAAUGCGUAGAUAUGUGGAGGAAUACCGAUGGCGAAGGCAGCCCCCUGGGAUAACACUGACGCUCAUGCACGAAAGCGUGGGGAGCAAACAGGAUUAGAUACCCCCGUAGUCCCUGUCUCUUAUAC